rnacentral:siRNA from 1 species
UAUAGUGCGUCUGAGGUCGGCG